CGCCUCUUGCAAAAUUAACAAAUAAGAGGUCCCGCCUGCCCUGUGACUAUACGUUUAACGGCCGCGGUAUUUUGACCGUGCAAAGGUAGCGCAAUCACUUGUCUUUUAAAUGGAGACCCGUAUGAAUGGCGCAACGAGGGCUUAACUGUCUCUUCUUUCAAGUCAAUGAAAUUGAUCUCCCCGUGCAGAAGCGGGGAUACGCACAUAAGACGAGAAGACCCUGUGGAGCUUUAGGCACCAAGGCAGAAUAUGUUAAGUACCCCCGACUAAUGGUUAAAACAAGUUAUAACCUGCCCUAAUGCCUUCGGUUGGGGCGACCGCGGGGAAAUGAAAAACCCCCAUGUGGAAUGGGAACACAACUCCUACAGCUAAGAGCCCCUGUUCUAAGCAACAGAACCUCUGACUAUUAAGAUCCGGCAAUGCCGAUCAACGGACCAAGUUACCCCAGGGAUAACAGCGCAAUCCCCUUCUAGAGCCCAUAUCGACAAGGGGGUUUACGACCUCGAUGUUGGAUCAGGACAUCCUAAUGGUGCAGCCGCUAUUAAGGGUUCGUUUGUUCAACGAUUAAAGUCCU
rnacentral:rRNA from 1 species